rnacentral:rRNA from 1 species
UUAAGCGACUAAGCGUACACGGUGGAUGCCCUGGCAGUCAGAGGCGAUGAAGGACGUGCUAAUCUGCGAAAAGCGUCGGUAAGGUGAUAUGAACCGUUAUAGCCGGCGAUGUCCGAAUGGGGAAACCCAGUGUGAUUCGUCACACUAUCGUUAACUGAAUACAUAGGUUAACGAGGCGAACCGGGGGAACUGAAACAUCUAAGUACCCCGAGGAAAAGAAAUCAACCGAGAUUCCCCCAGUAGCGGCGAGCGAACGGGGAGCAGCCCAGAGUCUGAAUCAGCUUGUGUGUUAGUGGAACGGUCUGGAAAGUCCGACGGUACAGGGUGAUAGUCCCGUACACCAAAAUGCACAGGCUGUGAACUCGAAGAGUAGGGCGGGACACGUGGUAUCCUGUCUGAAUAUGGGGGGACCAUCCUCCAAGGCUAAAUACUCCUGACUGACCGAUAGUGAACCAGUACCGUGAGGGAAAGGCGAAAAGAACCCCGGCGAGGGGAGUGAAAAAGAACCUGAAACCGUGUACGUACAAGCAGUGGGAGCACCUUCGGGUGUGACUGCGUACCUUUUGUAUAAUGGGUCAGCGACUUAUAUUCUGUAGCAAGGUUAACCGUAUAGGGGAGCCGCAGGGAAACCGAGUCUUAACUGGGCGUUAAGUUGCAGGGUAUAGACCCGAAACCCGGUGAUCUAGCCAUGGGCAGGUUGAAGGUUGGGUAACACUAACUGGAGGACCGAACCGACUAAUGUUGAAAAAUUAGCGGAUGACUUGUGGCUGGGGGUGAAAGGCCAAUCAAACCGGGAGAUAGCUGGUUCUCCCCGAAAGCUAUUUAGGUAGCGCCUCGUGAAUUCAUCUUCGGGGGUAGAGCACUGUUUCGGCUAGGGGGUCAUCCCGACUUACCAACCCGAUGCAAACUACGAAUACCGAAGAAUGUUAUCACGGGAGACACACGGCGGGUGCUAACGUCCGUCGUGAAGAGGGAAACAACCCAGACCGCCAGCUAAGGUCCCAAAGUCACAGUUAAGUGGGAAACGAUGUGGGAAGGCACAGACAGCCAGGAUGUUGGCUUAGAAGCAGCCAUCAUUUAAAGAAAGCGUAAUAGCUCACUGGUCGAGUCGGCCUGCGCGGAAGAUGUAACGGGGCUAAACUGUGCACCGAAGCUGCGGCAGCGACACUAUGUGUUGUUGGGUAGGGGAGCGUUCUGUAAGCCUGCGAAGGUGGCCUGUGAGGGUUGCUGGAGGUAUCAGAAGUGCGAAUGCUGACAUAAGUAACGAUAAUGCGGGUGAAAAGCCCGCACGCCGGAAGACCAAGGGUUCCUGUCCAACGUUAAUCGGGGCAGGGUGAGUCGACCCCUAAGGCGAGGCCGAAAGGCGUAGUCGAUGGGAAACAGGUUAAUAUUCCUGUACUUGGUGUUACUGCGAAGGGGGGACGGAGAAGGCUAUGUUAGCCGGGCGACGGUUGUCCCGGUUUAAGCAUGUAGGCGGAGGUUCCAGGUAAAUCCGGUACCUUUUUAACGCUGAGGUGUGAUGACGAGGCACUACGGUGCUGAAGUAACAAAUGCCCUGCUUCCAGGAAAAGCCUCUAAGCAUCAGGUAACAUUAAAUCGUACCCCAAACCGACACAGGUGGUCAGGUAGAGAAUACCAAGGCGCUUGAGAGAACUCGGGUGAAGGAACUAGGCAAAAUGGUGCCGUAACUUCGGGAGAAGGCACGCUGAUAUGUAGGUGAAGCCCCUGCGGGUGGAGCUGAAAUCAGUCGAAGAUACCAGCUGGCUGCAACUGUUUAUUAAAAACACAGCACUGUGCAAACACGAAAGUGGACGUAUACGGUGUGACGCCUGCCCGGUGCCGGAAGGUUAAUUGAUGGGGUUAUCCGUAAGGAGAAGCUCUUGAUCGAAGCCCCGGUAAACGGCGGCCGUAACUAUAACGGUCCUAAGGUAGCGAAAUUCCUUGUCGGGUAAGUUCCGACCUGCACGAAUGGCGUAAUGAUGGCCAGGCUGUCUCCACCCGAGACUCAGUGAAAUUGAACUCGCUGUGAAGAUGCAGUGUACCCGCGGCAAGACGGAAAGACCCCGUGAACCUUUACUAUAGCUUGACACUGAACAUUGAGCCUUGAUGUGUAGGAUAGGUGGGAGGCUUUGAAGCGUGGACGCCAGUCUGCGUGGAGCCAACCUUGAAAUACCACCCUUUAAUGUUUGAUGUUCUAACGUUGGCCCCUGACCGGGGUUGCGGACAGUGUCUGGUGGGUAGUUUGACUGGGGCGGUCUCCUCCCAAAGAGUAACGGAGGAGCACGAAGGUUAGCUAAUCCUGGUCGGACAUCAGGAGGUUAGUGCAAUGGCAUAAGCUAGCUUGACUGCGAGCGUGACGGCGCGAGCAGGUGCGAAAGCAGGUCAUAGUGAUCCGGUGGUUCUGAAUGGAAGGGCCAUCGCUCAACGGAUAAAAGGUACUCCGGGGAUAACAGGCUGAUACCGCCCAAGAGUUCAUAUCGACGGCGGUGUUUGGCACCUCGAUGUCGGCUCAUCACAUCCUGGGGCUGAAGUAGGUCCCAAGGGUAUGGCUGUUCGCCAUUUAAAGUGGUACGCGAGCUGGGUUUAGAACGUCGUGAGACAGUUCGGUCCCUAUCUGCCGUGGGCGCUGGAGAAUUGAGGGGGGCUGCUCCUAGUACGAGAGGACCGGAGUGGACGCAUCACUGGUGUUCGGGUUGUCAUGCCAAUGGCAUUGCCCGGUAGCUAAAUGCGGAAGAGAUAAGUGCUGAAAGCAUCUAAGCACGAAACUUGCCCCGAGAUGAGUUCUCCCUGACUCCUUGAGAGUCCUGAAGGAACGUUAAAGACGAUGACGUUGAUAGGUCGGGUGUGUAAGCGUAGCGAUACGUUGAGCUAACCGAUACUAAUGAACCGUGAGGCUUAACCUU